CCUCAAAUCAGGUAAGAGUACCCGCUGAACUUAAGCAUAUCAAUAAGCGGAGGAAAAGAAAAUAACAAUGAUUCCCUUAGUAACGGCGAGUGAAGGGGGAUAAGCUCAAAUUUUAAAUCUGCUAGGUCUUACCUAUCAGAGUUGUAAUUUGAAGAAGCGUUUUCCGCGUCUCGGUUGACCCAAAUCCUUUGGGAUAUGGUAUCAUGGAGGGUGAGAAUCCCGUUCGGUUGACCUUAUGACGCUUUACGAUACGUUUUCUAAGAGUCGAGUUGUUUGGGAUUGCAGCUCAAAAUGGGAGGUAAAUUUCUCCUAAGGCUAAAUAUUGGCGAGAGACCGAUAGCGAACAAGUACCGUGAGGGAAAGAUGAAAAGAACUUUGAAAAGAGAGUAAAAUAGUACGUGAAAUUGUUGAAAGGGAAACGAUUGAAGUCAGUCGUACCGACGGAAAAUCAGCUCUUUGAGUGCGGACUUGUGGGCUUACGUGAGUUUUAACGCCUCGCUGUUUGCAACGUUCGUGUUUUUUGGGUGUACUUCUUCGUAUGGUAGGCCAAUAUCAGUUUCGAUCGCUAUAAAAUGACCGGCGGAAUGUAGCUUCGAUCUCGUAUUGAAGUGUUAUAGCCUCUGGUAGAUGUGGUGAUCGGGACUGAGGAUUGCAACGAAUACCUUUUGGGCUAUCCGUCUGAUCUCUGAAGGUUGCUUAGGUGCCGAAAGCGUGCUUACGGUUAUUUAAGUUGACAGUCAAAAGGUUAGAACGUGAUUAAAUUCGUUAAGGAUGUUGGCGUAAUGGCUUUAAACGACCCGUCUUGAAACACGGACCAAGGAGUCUAACAUAUAUGCGAGUG
rnacentral:rRNA from 1 species